rnacentral:rRNA from 1 species
UUGCAGGCUGNAACCCGCCUGCAUGAAGUCGGAAUUGCUAGUAAUCGCGGAUCAGCAUGCCGCGGUGAAUACGUUCCCGGGCCUUGUACACACCGCCCGUCACACCAUGGGAGCCGGUAAUACCCGAAGUCAGUAGUCCAACCUCGUGAGGACGCUGCCGAAGGUAGGAUUGGCGACUGGGGUGAAGUCGUAACAAGGUAGC